rnacentral:rRNA from 1 species
UGGGGAAUAUUGCACAAUGGGCGAAAGCCUGAUGCAGCGACGCCGCGUGAGGGAUGACGGCCUUCGGGUUGUAAACCUCUUUCAGCAGGGAAGAAGCGAAAGUGACGGUACCUGCAGAAGAAGCGCCGGCUAACUACGUGCCAGCAGCCGCGGUAAUACGUAGGGCGCGAGCGUUGUCCGGAAUUAUUGGGCGUAAAGAGCUCGUAGGCGGUCUGUCGCGUCGGAUGUGAAAGCCCGGGGCUUAACCCCGGGUCUGCAUUCGAUACGGGCAGACUAGAGUGUGGUAGGGGAGAUCGGAAUUCCUGGUGUAGCGGUGAAAUGCGCAGAUAUCAGGAGGAACACCGGUGGCGAAGGCGGAUCUCUGGGCCAUUACUGACGUUGAGGAGCGAAAGCGUGGGGAGCGAACAGGAUUAGAUACCCUGGUAGUCCACGCCGUAAACGGUGGGAACUAGGUGUUGGCGACAUUCCACGUCGUCGGUGCCGCAGCUAACGCAUUAAGUUCCCCG